GAUUGGUCAAUGGGCGCGAGCCUGAACCAGCCAAGUAGCGUGAAGGAUGACGGCCCUAUGGGUUGUAAACUUCUUUUAUAUGGGAAUAAAGUUUGGUAUGUAUACCAUUUUGUAUGUACCAUAUGAAUAAGGAUCGGCUAACUCCGUGCCAGCAGCCGCGGUAAUACGGAGGAUCCGAGCGUUAUACGGAUUCAUUGGGUUUAAAGGGUGCGCAGGCGGGCCUUUAAGCCGGCGGUGAAAUCGCGGGGCUCAACCCCGCCGAGCCGUCGGAACUGGGGGCCUUGAGUGCGGCGGAGGCAUGCGGAAUGCGCGGUGUAGCGGUGAAAUGCAUAGAUAUCGCGCAGAACCCCGAUUGCGAAGGCAGCGUGCCGUGCCGCCACUGACGCUGAGGCACGAAAGCGCGGGGAUCGAACA
rnacentral:rRNA from 1 species